UAGGGAAUCUUCCACAAUGGACGAAAGUCUGAUGGAGCAACGCCGCGUGAGUGAAGAAGGGUUUCGGCUCGUAAAACUCUGUUGUUAAAGAAGAACAUAUCUGAGAGUAACUGUUCAGGUAUUGACGGUAUUUAACCAGAAAGCCACGGCUAACUACGUGC
rnacentral:rRNA from 1 species